CACGCGCGCCGCGGAGAUGGAGCGAUGAAAUCAACUGGCGUGCGGGAGCUCGAAUGUUCGCGGCGACGGCUCGGUGAAGCAAAUGAGUGGAGGCUCGGCCGAGGGAGCGACCGUGGAACACGCAGAGGCUCUCCCCGCCGCAGUGCUGCUGCAUCACGCGCACCUCGUCGCCCAGCACCUGCUCUCGCGACGGGCGCCCGCGCUUGCCCAGGCGAUGGCACCGCUCGUCAGAGCGUGCUUGCAGGCUCGGCGCUGCUUCGCUGGACGUGUUCGCUGGCAGCAACGAACAGAGCGAGCGAGCUGUCACCACCGUGCGAUGCUGGGCGUGGAUGAUGGAGACGGCUGUGCGCCAGACUCCUGCCGUUAUUUGGAAUGAUCAUCGUGAUGAUGGUGAUGAUGAUGAUGAUCUUGUACCCGGAACCCCAAUGUACGAGCGAUUGUAGGAGAUUUAUUUGUAAGCGAUGUCGCCAUUCAAAUGCGGUGUCUGAGAGUUGGUGAAUUGCAGUUACACCCAAAGACGAAGAUCCCCCGUAUAGCCUCAACAUACUGUUGGGGCAAGUGCUGAAGGCCGGCAAGGCACACGAUGGGGUGGUUGGCCAACACCACGUCCGGUUGGCUUUGUCUCCCCAGUGACGAUGUUUACACACAGCACCAGAUGAUCAUUUGAGGCUGAGUCUACCUAAGGGAGGCCCAGGACCGGUUCAGAUAAUCGUCACUGGUGUUGGCCGUGAGCCGGAAUCGAACGCGGGUCGCCAGGUUCGUAGCGCAGCGCGCUAACCGCUACACUACCGCACCCACCCACUUGCUCACCCACUCACUCAAUCAAACCACCCGCCGACUCACUCACCUAUUCACUCGCUCACCCACCCACUCAAACGCUCACUCGCCCACCAACCUACUCGCCUUCACAUUUAUAUCUGGGGCAAUGCGACGUGCCACAUUCCAUGUCUCGGUGUUCGUACGCCACAGUCGCACACAGGAGCAAGAGAGACAGAGAGAGACACACACACACAGCCAGACAGCGAGAGAGUUUCUCAUCCCCGACUCGCGCGUUCGGCAUCCACCGCGAUCCUCCGCAGGCAGCAGCAGCGGCAGUAGCAGCGGCAGCGGCGCGUGAUUUCGAAACGGAAAAACGUGAAAUUAAAACACGGAGCGUGAAGCCGUCGCGGUCAGGGCGUCGACCCUGCCGCGUGCGCCCGCGCGGUUGCGACGGCGGUGGC